UUCAGCUGUUCAGAGAAUGGCUAGAGGAAAUGAGGUCUGAUAUCCUAAUGCAUUGCAUUUAUUGAGUUAAUGGCUUCACUGGAUGUCACAUGUUGAAGGUUUUGUCUGCAGGCCUUAGGACUGGAAACUCCAUUCUUUGCUGCAUGAAAUCUGACUUUCUCAUGCAUUCAUCUUCUUCCUGCAGCUGGGUUUCUAAGAAACAAGGCAAGGCUUUGGAAGCUCCCAUAGAACUGUGUAAGGCUGGAGGAGACCUGCAGAGAUCUGGUCUGUCCCCAGCUCUUCCUUGUAGUCAGAUGGAGCAGAUCUCCCCACAGAGACUUUCAUUGUAACUUGCUCUAAGACAGAUUUGUGCUGCAGACUCUUACCACCUGUUUUUUCUAGUAAAUAAGUAUUAAAGGUCAAAAGCUUCUUCUGAUACCUAAUCUCCCUUGCUGGUUGCUUAACUCCAGCCUUUUAUUCUCCUGGUCUUUUGGAUAUAUGAACUACUCAUCAACAUCCUUUUUAUAAUAAUAAUUUACACUUUGAUGAUAUAAACCCUUCGGCUUCUCUUUUCUGUGAUAAACCUUUUCAGACAUUUUCUUUUGGAAUGUCUUUUGUAACUCCUUCUCCUCCUGCUCUUCUCAGCCCUCUCAGACUUGUUUGCAUUUCUUCCAGAUAUGAUGUGUGAAACUGAUACCUGACUGCAGAUGAGAAAUGCAGUGUUUCCAGGUUCAAUAAAAUGGUCACCUCCGCUGUACUAUGUGCUUCAAUUUGAUUCAAAGCAUUGUAAAUCUGAUUUUAAUCAUGAUUUAAAUCAGCCAACAGUAAGCCUCAUUUUAACUGUUUUGCAUUUGUACUUAAUCAUUUUGCAAAGAAAGGUUUAACCUCCUUUAUUACCAUUGAGAUAGAGUUUUAAUUAAAUAUAGCCUUUGCAGUUAAUGUUAUACUUACUUUGAUUAAUCACUGUGCCUGUAUUUAAGCAAUUAUGUAGCUUGUUAUAUAUACACUGAUCCUGAUUCUUCAUGUGUAUGUUUUAGUAUGAAAAUAGAAAAUGUUGACAUUUCUUGUAUUAGAUAAUUGAUUUUUGCUGAUGAUUUGCAUCGAUUACAAUGACGGAAACAAGAAUUCUGAAAUGUUCUUCCGUUAGAUAAAAAAUAGCACCACAUAGAAGCCAGCCAAUUCAGAAGAAAAAACUCAUUGAGAAAUGUUUUGAAAAAGGAAUUAAUGCCUGAAAGGCCUAUCUGUAGUCAAAAGUGGUGGCUUCUAAUCACUAUGCUACAAAAAUUUUAGAACUAGUCCAUGUCAUUCUCUCCUUAUUCUUAGAAUAGCAAUGGAAAGAAACAUUCAUGGUUUUUUUCAGCUCCAGAUCAGUCACUCCUCUUUGAAUGGACUAGUUGCUUAAUUGAGUUGUACUGAAUGAACUGAAAUAAAAUAUUUUCUCUGCACCUGCUAGGAAACUCCACAUGUCAAAGGCGGGUUUGUUACUGCAGCACAACCUGCCUGAAGGUGCUCAGGGGCUGACUUUGAUGAAUCCAGUAGUUAUCUUUAAAAUGUUGACAGCUUGAAUAAAUUUUUGCUUUUAUUUUUUAAUGAUUAGAGGAGCUGUAAGUUUAAAUUUACAUUGCUGUAUUUUCAAAAUCACUGUUGUGUACUUUACCUUUUAAAACAAAAAUUAUAAAAAUGCCGUGGUUUUACUUUUUCAUGUAAUAUUAAAUUAAAUAUGCAGCUUAAUAGAGUA